CCUUCGGCUAAGCAGCAAUAUGGUCAAUAGGUGUAUUCCAUUUCACAUAUGUUGCCACUGUGCCACAACCUUUUGAAAUUAGUAAAUGUCUUCUCGUUUUGCAUAUUCAUUCUUUUCGAUAUAUCCUAAAUGCGUCCCUACAUUACAAAAUAUUUAUACCUGGAAUUAAAGGCAGUCAUCGGGAUCACAGCAUAAAGGUUCCCAAAAUAUUUUUUGGAGUCUAUUAGAGCACCCAGAACCCAGAGUAAGGUCCCAAGCACUGCUAUUUUUAUGAUCACAGCUGUAUGUUCUUGAUAUUCAGGAUCAAUAGCCGAGUCGAUCUAGCUAUGUCCGUAUGAACGUCGAGAUCUCAGGAACUAUAACAGCUAGAAGGUUGAGAUUCAGCAUACAGAUUCUAGAGACAAAGACGAAGCUCAAAGUUGUUGACCCACGCCCAAAUUUUUUAAAACUGUGUUGAUAUAUUUUUAUAUUUUUAUUAGUCUUGUUUAUUUCUAUCGAUUUGAAUAAAAAUUGUUUUUCAAAACUGCGA
ensembl:ncRNA lncRNA:CR46480 long non-coding RNA:CR46480